AUUGAACGCUGGCGGCAGGCCUAACACAUGCAAGUCGAGCGAGAGGCGGACGGGUUAGUAAUGUCUGGGAAACUGCCUGGUGGAGGGGGAUCACUACUGGAAACGGUAGCUAAUACCGCAUACCAUCGGAUGUGCCCAGAUGGGAUUAGCUAGUAGGUGGGGUAAUGGCUCACCUAGGCGACGAUCCCUAGCUGGUCUGAGAGGAUGAACAGACACACUGGAACUGAGACACGGUCCAGACUCCUACGGGAGGCAGCAGUGGGGAAUAUUGCACAAUGGGCGCAAGCCUGAUGCAGCCAUGCCGCGUGUGUGAAGAAGGCCUUCGGGUUGUAAAGUACUUUCAGCGGGGAGGCGUUACCCGCAGAAGAAGCACCGGCUAACUCCGUGCCAGCAGCCGCGGUAAUAC
rnacentral:rRNA from 1 species